rnacentral:lncRNA from 1 species
ACCUCUACUUCAGGAUUGGUUAGGAUGAGUCUAGACCCUACUCUCGUCACAUUUGAUAAGCCAUCCACAUAUAGCGUCUAGAGCUCCUCUGGGUCAGAUCCUAUGUCUACUUCCUCACCUCUCGAGCUUUCACUAGAUCCUGAGUUCUCCCCUUUUUUCAAGCUCCCUGCAGCCCUUGAGCCCUCUCUAUUUGGAAUGGUGCACUCGAGGAUGAAAUCUACCAGCACUUGGGC